rnacentral:rRNA from 1 species
UUCCGGUUGAUCCUGCCGGACCUGACUGCUAUCGGAUUGAUACUAAGCCAUGCUAGUCUUUGUAGUAAUACAAGGCAUACGGCUCAGUAACGCGUAGUCAACCUACCCUAUGGACGGGGAUAAUCUCGGGAAACUGAGCAUAAUACCCGGCAGACCACUUAUCCUGGAAUGGUUAGUGGUUAAAAUGAUUCGUCGCCAUAGGAUGGGACUGCGGCCUAUCAGCUUGUUGGUGAGGUAAUGGCCCACCAAGGCGAUUACAGGUACGGGCUCUGAGAGGAGAGGCCCGGAGAUGGGUACUGAGACAAGGACCCAGGCCCUAUGGGGCGCAGCAGGCGAGAAAACUUUGCAAUGUGCGAAAGCACGACAAGGUUAAUCCGAGUGAUUUCUGCUAAAGGAAUCUUUUGUUAGUUCUAAAAAUACUAGUGAAUAAGGGGUGGGCAAGUUCUGGUGUCAGCCGCCGCGGUAAAACCAGCACCUCAAGUGGUCAGGAGGAUUAUUGGGCCUAAAGCAUCCGUAGCCUGUUCUAUAAGUUUGCGGUUAAAUCCAUAUGCUCAACAUAUGGGCUGCCGUAAAUACUGUAGAACUAGGGAGUGGGAGAGGUAGACGGUACUCGAUAGGAAGGGGUAAAAUCCUUUGAUCUAUUGAUGACCACCUGUGGCGAAGGCGGUCUACCAGAACACGUUCGACGGUGAGGGAUGAAAGCUGGGGGAGCAAACCGGAUUAGAUACCCGGGUAGUCCCAGCUGUAAACGAUGCAGACUCGAUGAUGCAAUGGCAUAGAGCUAUUGCAGUAUCGCAGGGAAGCCGUUAAGUUUGCCGCCUGGGAAGUACGUACGCAAGUAUGAAACUUAAAGGAAUUGGCGGGGGAGCACCACAAGGGGUGAAGCCUGCGGUUCAAUUGGAGUCAACGCCGGG